rnacentral:rRNA from 2 species
CAUUCCGAACACAGAAGUUAAGCUCUUUAGCGCCGAUGGUACUUGGUGGGAAGCUGCCUGGGAGAGUAGGACGUAGCCACGU